UUCCCUGCCACAAACCAUCAGCCGGUCAAGCCAACGCUGGCGCGGCCAAGCGUGCCCACCUAUAUAGUAGAAUUGAUGCACCCUAUCAUCUCUCUAACUAUCUAGGUAGCAUUAGUCCCUAUGAUGCUAUUGAAUAACUUUAACUAACAAAACAUUUAGAACUUUAUAAUUAAAACCAAAAUUUUGAAAUGAAAACCUGCCAAUAAUUAAUAGUCAACCCAACUUGGUACACAAAAUAUCUUAACCCUCUCUAACCCCCAUGGCAUGCAUAUAUCAAGAUAUAGAUUUAGUUCUAGAUACAAACUUAAUCUCUACUAGAAAAUUAACUACUAGACCGUAAAGAUCAAGCCAUGAUGGCUAAAUAAUGGGAG
rnacentral:lncRNA from 1 species